CAGGGCCAGGUUUUUCUGGGAAGCAAUGAGCAGGGAUAUGAAGUAUGGGAAGGCCUGCCCCAGGGCAUCCGAGGGAACCGCUGGAAGGUCGGACUCACGGUCAUCACUCCGGAGCGGAAAUUCGUCUUCACCUGCCCCACGGAAAAGGAGCAGCGGGAAUGGCUGGAGAGUCUGCGGGGUGUCCUGUCCAGUCCCUUGUCGCCCCUCCACCUCCUCAGUGAGAAGUGGGGGGUGGGUGGGGAUUCCUUUGGGUGAGGGCAGA
rnacentral:lncRNA from 1 species